AGUGACUCUUAACAACUGUGAACACAAUUUGUAUUACAAAUAUGUCACUGAGAAUAAUAACAAGGGUGGAUUCAACAUUGACUUGUCCAUCACAAUCGAUAAGGACAUCCAGAAGGAAGACGGAUCUAAGGAUGCUCAACCUGCACAACAUGAACGUUCAGGUGAUGUGGAGAUGCAAGCGGAAGAAGAGAAGGAGCAAUAUGAACUGAUAGAGUAU